rnacentral:piRNA from 1 species
UUGCCAGCCAGUACUUUGGGUCUUAA